rnacentral:lncRNA from 1 species
UGGUUCUGUGAGGGGUGUUUGGUUGGUCGGUCGAGAGUAGCAUCAGUCUGCUCAAUCGAUAUAUAGUCGGUAAUCGCUUCCAGGAUUGUCUGUUCAUUUGGUGGAUCAGAGUCGGGCAUCGAUCGGUGUGUGCUAGAGAUCGAUCGAUUUAUGGAGGUCGAUCGGUUUACUCCAACAGCUGCCCCUCCACUCCCGAGUCCAAUGGUGAAUCAUCACAUGCGUCCUCACAUGGUUAAUCAU